GAUGAACGCUGGCGGCGUGCCUAAUACAUGCAAGUCGAGCGAACAGACGAGGAUCUUGCUCCUCUGACGUUAGCGGCGGACGGGUGAGUAACACGUGGAUAACCCACCUAUAAGACUGGGAUAACUUCGGGAAACAGGAGCUAAUACCGGAUAACAUGUUGAACCGCAUGGUUCCACAGUGAAAGACGGUCUUGCUGUCACUUAUAGAUGGAUCCGCGCCGCAUUAGCUAGUUGGUAAGGUAACGGCUUACCAAGGCAACGAUGCGUAGGCGACCUGAGAGGGUGAUCGGCCACACUGGAACUGAGACACGGUCCAGACUCCUACGGGAGGCAGCGGUAGGGAAUCUUCCGCAAUGGGCGAGAGCCUGACGGAGCAACGCCGCGUGAGUGAAGAAGGUCUUCGGAUCGUAAAACUCUGUUAUUAGGGAAGAACAAAUGUGUAAGUAACUAUGCACGUCUUGACGGUACCUAAUCAGAAAGCCACGGCUAACUACGUG
rnacentral:rRNA from 1 species